rnacentral:rRNA from 1 species
GACGAACGCUGGCGGCGUGCUUAACACAUGCAAGUCGAACGGAAAGGCCUCUUUCGGGGGGUACUCGAGUGGCGAACGGGUGAGUAACACGUGAGUAACCUGCCCUUGACUUUGGGAUAACUUCAGGAAACUGGGGCUAAUACCGGAUAGGAGCUCCUGCUGCAUGGUGGGGGUUGGAAAGUUUCGGCGGUUGGGGAUGGACUCGCGGCUUAUCAGCUUGUUGGUGGGGUAGUGGCUUACCAAGGCUUUGACGGGUAGCCGGCCUGAGAGGGUGACCGGCCACAUUGGGACUGAGGGGCGGCCCAGACUCCUACGGGAGGCAGCAGUGGGGAAUAUUGCACAAUGGGUGGAAGCCUGAUGCAGCAACGCCGUGUGCGGGAUGACGGCCUUCGGGUUGUAAAACGCUUUCGCUCAUGACGAAGCUUUGUGUGACGGUAGUGAGUAAAGAAGCACCGGCUAACUACGUG